rnacentral:rRNA from 1 species
CCUACGGGGGGCUGCAGUGGGGAAUAUUACACAAUGGAGGAAACUCUGAUGUAGCAACGCCGCGUGGAGGAUGACACAUUUCGGUGCGUAAACUCCUUUUAUAUGGGAAGAUAAUGACGGUACCAUAUGAAUAAGCACCGGCUAACUCCGUGCCAGCAGCCGCGGUAAUACGGAGGGUGCAAGCGUUACUCGGAAUCACUGGGCGUAAAGCGCGCGCAGGCGGCCCAUUAAGUUGGAUGUGAAAUCCUAUGGCUCAACCAUAGAACUGCAUCCAAAACUGAUGGGCUAGAGUCUGGGAGGGGAAGAUGGAAUUAGUGGUGUAGGGGUAAAAUCCGUAGAGAUCACUAGGAAUACCAAAAGCGAAGGCGAUCUUCUGGAACAGUACUGACGCUGAGGCGCGAAAGCGUGGGGAGCAAACAGGCUUAGAUACCCGAGUAGUC